rnacentral:lncRNA from 1 species
GUGAUUUUGCACUUUUUCACUUUAGUACCAUGUAGUUUAAAGUCUAUUAAUUUAGUACCCUGUGGUUUCAUUUUUCUCUUUUCGUCAGGUCAUCCGUUAACAUUUUGUUAAAUUAUAUAAAAAAACUUUAGAUACCCCACCUAGGUUUAUCGAAUAUUUACUUUAGUACCACUUGCUUUUAACUUUGUCACUGAUUUAACAAAAAAAAAUUAGUGGAAGAGGAUAACAAAAAUAGAAAAAUAAAACCAUAGGGUACAAAAGUGAUACACUUUAAACCACAGGUACUAAAGUGAGAAAGUGCGAAACCGCAGAGGUGAUAUUUGAAGUUUUUCCUACAAAGUAUUAGCUCAAAUGAUGUCCCACUCGGUGUGCCAAAUUUAUAGGAGCAUUUGGAUUAAUUGACGAAUUCUAGAUCUAAUGUAAAUUAAGUGCAGUAGUUUUGGAGUUUUCAAGAAGUAUAGUUAUUUUUUCGUUGUUUAUUUUGAUGUAACUCAUACAUUCUGAAAAUUAUAUUCAAGCACUUCUUUUAUUUAUUUUGGUGAAACUUGAUGCUAGUGUAUCUAGUUUUUUGAGUUCUAUUAUUUGUUUUGAUAUAAGUAAAUAAAUUCCAUUACCUUCUAAAUAUAGCGAUAAACUUAUCCCACAAAAUCCAACAUAUUAAAUAACUAAAUUCUCCAUUAUUAUUUAACGGUAAUCCUAAUCUAUUAUAAAGGAGGUAAUUCUAACCUGUUAUAAAGGAAGUAGAGUUUAGGUUUUAAUAUUUAAUAAGUCUUUUAGAGAAGGUUGAAUGUGGUGGAACUUAAGUUUGGCCCUCUAGAGGGGAAAGCCAAAGGUAGAUAAAGUUGAGGUCUAAUAUAACUUGAGUUAUAUUAUUUUUUUAAUUUACAAUAAAACAAACACAAAAAAUAAUGGAACUUUAGUUCCAUUCCUGCACUUACUCCAAACCAAACGGCCCUUAU